GAUGAAGAACGCAGCGAAAUGCGAUAAGUAGUGUGAAUUGCAGAAUUCAGUGAAUCAUCGAAUCUUUGAACGCACAUUGCGCCCUUUGGUAUUCCUUAGGGCAUGCCUGUUCGAGCGUCAUUUAAACCUUCAAGCUCAGCUUGGUGAUGGGUGACUGUCCUCCCCUCGCGGGGGGACUCGCCUCAAAAACAUUGGCGGCCGGUACAUUGGCUUCGAGCGCAGCAGAAACGCGGUCUCGAGUCCGGUGGAUCGGCUCCCAUAAGUCUAUUCUUUUAUUUUGACCUCGGAUCAGGUAGGGAUACCCGCUGAACUUAAGCAUAUCAUAAGCGGAGGA
rnacentral:misc_RNA from 1 species